CUGUUUGGCCCUGUCCGGGGGUAUCAUCGGAUGGGGCCACAGUGUCUCCUGACCCCUCCUGUCUCAGCCUCCAGUAUUUAUGCUGCAGUAGUUUAUGUGUCGGGGGGCUAGGGUCAGUCUGUUACAUCUGGAGUAUUUCUCUUGUCUUAUCCGGUGUCCUGUGUGAAUUUAAAUAUGCUCUCUCUAAUUCUCUCUUUCUCUCUUUCUGUCUUUCUCUCGGAGGACCUGAGCCCUAGGGCCAUGCCUCAGGACUACCUGGUAUGAUGACUCCUUGCUGUCCCCAGUCCACCUGGCCGUGCUGCUGCUCCAGUUUCAACUGUUCUGCCUGCGGCUAUGGAACCCUGACCUGUUCACCGGACGUGCUUGUUGCACCCUCGACAACUACUAUGAUUAUUAUUAUUUGACCAUGCUGGUCAUUUAUGAACAUUUUAACAUUUUAACAUCUUGACCAUGUUCUGUUAUAAUAUCCACCCUGCACAGCCAGAAGAGGACUGGCCACCCCUCAUAGCCUGGUUCCUCUCUAGGUUUCUUCCUAGGUUUUUGGCCUUUCUAGGGAGUUUUUCCUAGGGAGUUUUUCCUAGCCACCGUGCUUCUUUCACAUGCUUUGCUUGCUGUUUGGGGUUUUAGGCUGGGUUUCUG
rnacentral:lncRNA from 1 species